GUCCACGCUGUAAACGAUGAAUGCUAGAUAUCGGGGUUAUACUCGGUGUCGAAGUUAACAUGAUAAGCAUUCCGCCUGGGGAGUACGGUCGCAAGAUUAAAACUCAAAGGAAUUGACGGGGGCUCGCACAAGCGGUGGAGUAUGUGGUUUAAUUCGAAGCAACGCGAAAAACCUUACCAGCCUUUUACAUGUUGGUCGUAGGAUCCAGAGAUGGAUUCGUCAGCUCGGCUGGACCAAACACAGGUGUUGCAUGGCUGUCGU
rnacentral:rRNA from 1 species